rnacentral:rRNA from 1 species
GGGGAAUUUUGGACAAUGGGCGCAAGCCUGAUCCAGCAAUGCCGCGUGAGUGAAGAAGGCCUUCGGGUUGUAAAGCUCUUUCAGUUGAAAAGAAAAAGCCGUGACUAAUAAUCAUGGUUCAUGACGGUAUCAACAGAAGAAGCACCGGCUAACUACGUGCCAGCAGCCGCGGUAAUACGUAGGGUGCAAGCGUUAAUCGGAAUUACUGGGCGUAAAGGGUGCGCAGGCGGUUCUGUAAGUCAGAUGUGAAAUCCCCGGGCUUAACCUGGGAACUGCGUUUGAAACUGCAGAGCUAGAGUGCGGCAGAGGGAGGUGGAAUUCCAUGUGUAGCAGUGAAAUGCGUAGAGAUAUGGAAGAACAUCGAUGGCGAAGGCAACCUCCUGGGCUAGCACUGACGCUCAUGCACGAAAGCGUGGGGAGCAAAC